AGUCUACAUAGUGAGUUCAGAGCUAGGGCUACCCUGUCUUAAAAAACAAAAGACAAAACAAACAAACAACCAAAAAUGUGCAUGUUUAUCUGAGGUUUGUGUAAUUGAGUUCAGGUGUCUGAAGAGGACAGAAGAGGGCAUCAGAUCCCUGGAGCUGGAGUCCCAGGCAGUUGUGGAGCACCCAAGCCCCCAACCACAGGCAACACACGGAUUUCCCUCCCGGUCAUACUUUAACUGGGACCCUUCUGAAGUAUGGAAGGAAUUUGUGGACAAGGUCCUGGGUCUGACAUCAUUGAUACAUACAUUCUAAAAGACAUGAUUGUUCUCCAAUUGUUUUGUGAGGUCCUGACGCCCUAGAAGGGCCCGGCUCCAGGCUCUACCCUUCUUUUGUAUUUUGGACAUGAUAAAUACCUGUUCUUCUCUGAAGAAGCUUUUCUAAUAUGCGGAGCCGAAAACUGAAAGCGGCCCUUAUUUAACUGGGUUGAGUUUAAUUAAUCUGCCUGAGAUUUCAGUGAGAUGCUCUCGGCUCUGCUCAUCUGCUGUCUUGGUCCUGGCAGUCUGUAAGGGUGCAUUUCCUGAGUUAGACUACCCCUCCGUUUAGAUAGCGAGGAACUCUGCUUGCUUUCUGUUGAACGGUGUGUGUCCCUCCUAGUCUGACAGGAGAAGCACAAGCCAUUGCUCUCUGUAGAAGCUGUGAUUAUGGUGGUCUUUGACUCCCUAGAACUUGGUCGUGGAAGGGACCUGUUUCACCUGCAUUUCACCUGCAUUUGCUUUCUAAGCAUUCUGGGACUUGGAUGCAAUUUGUAACCUCUCAGAUCAGUUGUUUUGCUAUGUUUUGUAUUCAUUAGUAGUGUGGGUACACGUGACAUGUAUAUGAGGACACUUGUGUGUCACUGUGGGUGGGGAGGUUGGAGGAGUCAGCUUGGCCUUCUACCGAACACAAGUCUUCAGACUUGGUGCCAAGCGCCUUCGCCCUCUGAGCCAUCUUGCCAUCCCUCGGAUCACAUUUUAAGAGUUUUGUUGUUGUUAUUGUUGCUGUUGUUGCUUUUUUUUAAAAGACAGGGUUUUUCUGUAUAGCUGUGGCUGUCCUGGAACUCACUCUGUAGACCAGGCUGACCUUGAACUCAGAAAUCCGCCUGCCUCAGCCUCCCAAGUGCUGGGAUUAAAGGCGUGCGCCACCACACCUGUCAGUUUUUGUUCCAAGU
rnacentral:lncRNA from 1 species